GACGAACGCUGGCGGCGUGCUUAACACAUGCCAGUCGAACGGAAAGGCCCUGCUUGCAGGGUGCUCGAGUGGCGAACGGGUGAGUAACACGUGGGUGAUCUGCCCCUUACUUUGGGAUAAGCCUGGGAAACUGGGUCUAAUACUGGAUAGGACCAUGCUGUAGGUGGUGUGGUGGAAAGAUUAGUUUCGGUAAGGGAUGAGCUCGCGGCCUAUCAGCUUGUUGGUGGGGUAAUGGCCUACCAAGGCGUCGACGGGUAGCCGGCCUGAGAGGGUGGACGGCCACAUGGGGACUGAGAUACGGCCCAGACGCCUACGGGAGGCAGCAGUGGGGAAUAUUGCACAAUGGGCGCAAGCCUGAUGCAGCGACGCCGCGUGGGGGAUGACGGCCUUCGGGUUGUAAACUCCUUGCAGCCAUGACGAAGCCCUUGUGGUGACGGUAGUGGUAGAAGAAGCACCGGCUAACUACGUG
rnacentral:rRNA from 1 species